CCAUCACAGCCUUGAUGAUGGAAGAACAUACAGCUGCAAUGGCCACACUGCCAGCACAGGAGCAAUUAAUUGUCAGGUUAAUUUGAGACAGGAGAUGGUAGUAGCUUUUCAAGUCUGCUCAGGGGUGUCUCCCAAGGCCAGGAGCCACUCACUGGGCACCGCAGGGGAACCAGUCUGACAGGUCCCUGGAGUCCGUGGACAGGGAAAAAGAGCAAACCUGCAGAUGAAUAGUGUUUUGAGACAGCAGUAUCAUAGGAAAACUAUAUGCUAUACGAUAUAACCCAGCACCAGAAAUGGGUCAGGGAUUAGGGCGGCACGUCUGCCGUCUUGGCAGAAAUCAAACUGCAGCCUGCGCUGGGACUUGAGCUGGGUUAGGUACCACUGCCUGUGUCGGGAGCAGACCCAGAGUACAAAUAACAUAAUGCGAAAAGGUUUUUAAGAAACUGAAAAGCGAGUUUAAUUCUGGGAAUCCCGAUGAGGGUCUGAGCUUUGAAGCGCAGGAGAAAAUGGGACCUGCGCCGGCAGCCACCUGAACAACCCGGAGGCUCGGUGCGGGAGCGUCCCCGCCGCCCCCCGCAGCGAGCGGGCGGUGCCGGGGCCCGCGGGGCUCCAGCCGGGGCGCUGCGGCUCCUGCGGCAAAGCCCCCGGCCCUGCCUCACGCAGGGGAGCGGCGCCACCGCCCCGCUUACCACCGGCACGGCUCCCCGGCCCCGCCCGGAGGUGAGGGAGGGAGGGAGGACCCGGCGCUCCCCGCCCGGCGCCACACGGGGGAGUUUCCCCUCAGCGCGGGCAGGUGGGGCCGCUCCGCCGCCCGCCCCGCCUCAGCCCCGCGGGGCAGCGCGGGCAGCCCGCGGCGCUCCCGGCUCGGUCGCUGCCCCUCGCCGGCAGCUGCCGCCAGCAGCAACAGGUCCGUGCCCGCUCCUCCCUCCGCCUGCCAGGCGAACAAAGGGCCGAGCGCGGCCCCGCGCCCGCCCGGCCCCUCCGCCAGCCCGGCCCCCGCGCUUCAGCCAUUUGCCUCGCCUGGCACCGCGGCGCCGCUCGCAGCCGCCUCCCGCUCCGCUGCCUGGGCCGGGCGCCGGGGCCGCUGCGCUGCGGGAGCUGCCCCGGAGCGGCGCGGGGCUCGUCGGCCGAAAGGAUCAGGACCAAUUGAUUGGCAGUGCUGCACCCUUUUCUUCAUCCUAAAAUGCUCCUUGGAUGCUAACUGGCAGUUUUGGCUUCAGAAGGAUUACAAGACUGGGGGGAAUGCAUAUGAGGAACACUGAUAUGGAGAGAACUUCCUGAAGGUCAUGCCAAGUGAAAUUUGGCUAGUGGGGAAUCGCCUUCCAGAAUAGACUGCGGCCUCAGCCUUCCACUGAAACAGUUGCACAAGGUGAAUACAUUGUGAUAGUACUCUUUAGUAUCCGCAGUUAGCGACUUUUGCUCAUCACCCAGCGCAGUGUAGGGACCAGUUGUCGUGAAAAGGAUUGCCGUGCCUGCAGACUGCUUAACAUUUCUGCAGAGCAACGGGAAAACCAGAUUUGCUUUUCAGGCUGUUGAGGCGCUCAUCGGGGCGAUCCCACCGAAAGAGCUCAGGUUUUCGGGGGUGAGCUAGCCAAGUUGACGCGGGAGGCGGCCGAGCCGCAGGGUGGAUCCCCCGGGAAAAGGAGAAGCGGCGGUUUAGCCCCGGAAACCAGAGGCGGCCCCGCCUGCGAGCGCGGCGGCCCCGAAUACUAAUCCUGGGAGGCGGGAGGUGUGGGGGGAAAGAAGCCGCGGGGGAGCGAGGAAGGCGCGGAUGCUGAGCGCUGUUGGGUCUGUCCCGCAGGUGAUGGCCGCGCUCCGCACGGACCAGGCGCGGCGCC
rnacentral:lncRNA from 14 species